UUCCUCAAAGCUCACGAGAAGCGUUUAACUGUUAAUUAAAAGGUUGCCACUAAGGCUGAGGAAC
rnacentral:tRNA from 1 species